AUUUAAAUAGCUUAAUUUUUUUAAAGCUUAAUAUUGAAGAUAUUAUGAUGAUUUUUUAUAAUCUUUAAAUG
rnacentral:tRNA from 1 species